rnacentral:rRNA from 1 species
GUGUCAGCAGCCGCGGUAAUACGGAGGAUGCGAGCGUUAUCCGGAUUUAUUGGGUUUAAAGGGUGCGUAGGCGGAUUAAUAAGUCAGUGGUGAAAACCUUCAGCUUAACUGGAGACUUGCCAUUGAUACUGUUAGUCUUGAGUACGGUCAAGGUAGGCGGAAUGUGUAAUGUAGCGGUGAAAUGCUUAGAUAUUACACAGAACACCGAUUGCGAAGGCAGCUUACUGGGCCAUUACUGACGCUGAUGCACGAAAGCGUGGGGAGCGAACAGGAUUAGAUACCCUGGUAGUCCACGCCGUAAACGAUGAUCACUCGCUGUUGGCGAUACACAGUCAGCGGCUAAGCAAAAGCAUUAAGUGAUCCACCUGGGGAGUACGGCCGCAAGGCUGAAACUCAAAGGAAUUGACGGGG